AUACAGAGGGUGCAAGCGUUAUUCGGAAUUACUGGGCGUAAAGCGCGCGUAGGCGGAUGAUUAAGUCAGUUGUGAAAGCCCUGGGCUCAACCUAGGAACUGCAUCUGAUACUGGUCGUCUAGAGUUUAAGAGAGGGAAGUGGAAUUCCAGGUGUAGCAGUGAAAUGCGUAGAUAUCUGGAGGAACAUCAGUGGCGAAGGCGACUUCCUGGCUUAAAACUGACGCUGAGGUGCGAAAGCGUGGAUAGCGAACGGGAUUAGAUACCCUAGUAGUCC
rnacentral:rRNA from 1 species